rnacentral:rRNA from 1 species
AGUGGCGGACGGGUGAGUAACGCGUGGAUAACCUGCCUCACACUGGGGGAUAACAGUUGGAAACGGCUGCUAAUACCGCAUAAGCGCACAGUACCGCAUGGUACGGUGUGAAAAACUCCGGUGGUAUGAGAUGGACCCGCGUCUGAUUAGGUAGUUGGUGGGGUAACGGCCUACCAAGCCGACGAUCAGUAGCCGACCUGAGAGGGUGACCGGCCACAUUGGGACUGAGACACGGCCCAA